UUAAGCUCGCAGCAGUGUCAGG
rnacentral:misc_RNA from 1 species